rnacentral:rRNA from 1 species
GACAGAGGGUGCGAACGUUGUUCGGAAUUACUGGGCGUAAAGCGCAUGUAGGCGGCAACGCAAGUCGGGCGUGAAAUCCCACGGCUCAACCGUGGAAGUGCACUCGAAACUGCGUAGCUAGAGUCCUGGAGAGGAAGGUGGAAUGCUUGGUGUAGAGGUGAAAUUCGUAGAUAUCAAGCGGAACACCGGUGGCGAAGGCGGCCUUCUGGACAGUGACUGACGCUGAGAUGCGAAAGCGUGGG